UAGGGAAUCUUCGGCAAUGGGGGCAACCCUGACCGAGCAACGCCGCGUGAGUGAAGAAGGUUUUCGGAUCGUAAAGCUCUGUUGUAAGAGAAGAACGUGUGUGAGAGUGGAAAGUUCACACAGUGACGGUAACUUACCAGAAAGGGACGGCUAACUACGUGCCAGCAGCCGCGGUAAUACGUAGGUCCCGAGCGUUGUCCGGAUUUAUUGGGCGUAAAGCGAGCGCAGGCGGUUUAAUAAGUCUGAAGUUAAAGGCAGUGGCUUAACCAUUGUUCGCUUUUGAAACUGUUAAUCUUGAGUGCAGAAUGGGAGAGUGGAAUUCCAUGUGUAGCGGUGAAAUGCGUAGAUAUAUGGAGGAACACCGGUGGCGAAAGCGGCUCUCUGGUCUGUAACUGACGCUGAGGCUCGAAAGCGUGGGGAGCAAACAGG
rnacentral:rRNA from 1 species